UACGUAGGGUGCAAGCGUUGUCCGGAAUUAUUGGGCGUAAAGAGCUCGUAGGCGGUUUGUCGCGUCGGCUGUGAAAACCUGAGGCUCAACCUCGGGCCUGCAGUCGAUACGGGCAAACUAGAGUUCGGUAGGGGAGGACUGGAAUUCCGUGGUGUAGCGGGUGAAAAUGCGCAGAUAUCAGGAAGAACACCCCGUGGCGAAGGCGGCUCUCUGGAACGCAACUGACGCUGAGACGCGAAAGCGUGGGGGAGCAAACAGG
rnacentral:rRNA from 1 species